UACGUAGGGUGCAAGCGUUGUCCGGAAUUAUUGGGCGUAAAGAGCUCGUAGGCGGUUUGUUGCGUCGGCUGUGAAAUCCCGAGGCUCAACCUCGGGUCUGCAGUCGAUACGAGCAAACUAGAGUGUUGCAGGGGAGACUGGAAUUCCCGGUGUAGCGGUGAAAUGCGCAGAUAUCGGGAGGAACACCGGUGGCGAAGGCGGUUCUCUGGGCCUGUUCUGACGCUGAGGAGCGAAAGCGUGGGGAGCGAACAGG
rnacentral:rRNA from 1 species